ACACAAGCAAGUCAAUCACAGAGUGUAAAUAUACCGAUAGGUGGAAGAAACAUACCGACACUAACUGGCUCUGAACAAAAUGACAAAGACACUUUAGAUCUAUAUGGAAUUUCUGUCAGGUUCAAUCCAUUGACUGGAUACAUGACAUUGUUCAUUGAUAAGGAGAUUGAUAGAGAUGACAAUGCACUUGAUUCAAAUGAGCGUAAAACAUCAACUGUUACAGUUUCCAUAACGAUAGCUGAUAAUGAUGAUUUAUAUCCAACAUUCUACCACCCUGGCUGUGGUGAUAUUUCAAGUUUACAACUCUGGCAAAUUCCUGUGAUGGUGUUACAUAUCGUGCAUCUAUAACAUCUAGAGUUAGGGUCGCGCAAGCGAUUCAAAUACGGCAAAUAUAUGCGCACAGACAGAAAGGGCGACGAAUAAUUUUAGCGGCAAAUUGUUGGGACGUUUGUAACUUCAAUUGCAAAAGAUCUACAGAAGUUCAGGCAUUAUGACAGUUUUGCGAGAUGUCCGACAUGUUUAAUUUCUGCAUCGGGUCUAUGCAUUCAAUUCUGGCAAAACAAUUUAAUUUAAUUAAAAUAAUAAUUUAUUUCAUUCAUCAGUAUAUAUGCGUAUUUACAAUUAAUACUGGUAGUUAUUAUUUGUAUUUCAUGUAUUUACCCUGGUCCGUUUGAUAAUUAAUGCUAGCCGGUGUUCAGUAGAUUUACCGCAUAGAAAAAUUGUCAGUUGAUAAAAUAUGUUCUUUAUCAUCGAUAAUCAUAUUGUUUAAAGAUCGGACGAGGGCGGUUUCAAAUUGAUACUAUCAAUCAACAAUUGAAUUAACUUAAUAACACUGUCUGUUUAGUGUUGAAAUAACUCAAAAAUCCCGAUAAAGAGCGGAAAGUAUGCGGCACUCGGACCUUUAUACGGAGAAUGGAGCGAAUAGAUGACCACUUUAAAUCUCGGGUCAUCAUCGCAAACAGAAAACUGGUUUUGGUAUAUGAUCCGCAGAUAUUGAACACUAUAAGAGUACUUUCAGAAACAAUGACGCUGGUAAAAUGUUUCAUUUAUAUUGCGACGUCACGAACGUCAUUUUGUUUCAUCAUCAGCGUGCGCCGGAUUGUGCACC